rnacentral:rRNA from 1 species
CAGAUUGAACGCUGGCGGCAGGCCUAACACAUGCAAGUCGAGCGGUAGAGAGAAGCUUGCUUCUCUUGAGAGCGGCGGACGGGUGAGUAAUGCCUAGGAAUCUGCCUGGUAGUGGGGGAUAACGUUCGGAAACGGACGCUAAUACCGCAUACGUCCUACGGGAGAAAGCAGGGGACCUUCGGGCCUUGCGCUAUCAGAUGAGCCUAGGUCGGAUUAGCUAGUUGGUGAGGUAAUGGCUCACCAAGGCGACGAUCCGUAACUGGUCUGAGAGGAUGAUCAGUCACACUGGAACUGAGACACGGUCCAGACUCCUACGGGAGGCAGCAGUGGGGAAUAUUGGACAAUGGGCGAAAGCCUGAUCCAGCCAUGCCGCGUGUGUGAAGAAGGUCUUCGGAUUGUAAAGCAC